GAUGAACGCUAGCUACAGGCUUAACACAUGCAAGUCGCAGGGUAACAUGAGGAAAGCUUGCUUUCCUUGAUGACGACUGGCGCACGGGUGAGUAACGCGUAUCCAACCUUCCCAUAACUACGGGAUAACCCGUUGAAAGACGGCCUAAUACCGUAUGAUAUCGUUUGCUGACAUCAAAUAACGAUUAAAGGUUUAGCGGUUAUGGAUGGGGAUGCGUCUGAUUAGCUUGUUGGCGGGGUAACGGCCCACCAAGGCGACGAUCAGUAGGGGUUCUGAGAGGAAGGUCCCCCACAUUGGAACUGAGACACGGUCCAAACUCCUACGGGAGGCAGCAGCGAGGAAUAGUGGUCAAUGGGCGAGAGCCUGAACCAGCCAAGUAGCGUGCAGGAUGACGGCCCUAUGGGUUGUAAACUGCUUUUAUGUGGGGAUAAAGUGCGUGACGUGUCAUGCAUUGCAGGUACCACAUGAAUAAGGACCGGCUAAUUCCGUG
rnacentral:rRNA from 1 species